rnacentral:tRNA from 2 species
GCCCCUGUGGUGGAAUUGGUAGACGCGUUCGACUCAAAAUCGAAUUCCUAACGGAGUGCCCGUUCGAGUCGGGCCAGGGGCACCA